GCUCCCGGAUGUUAGCGGCGGACGGGUGAGUAAAACGUGGGUAACCUGCCUGUAAGACUGGGAUAACUCCGGGAAACCGGAGCUAAUACCGGAUAGUUCCUUGAACCGCAUGGUUCAAGGAUGAAAGACGGUUUCRGCUGUCACUUACAGAUGGACCCGCGGCGCAUUAGCUAGUUGGUGGGGUAAUGGCUCACCAAGGCGACGAUGCGUAGCCGACCUGAGAGGGUGAUCGGCCACACUGGGACUGAGACACGGCCCAGACUCCUACGGGAGGCAGCAGUAGGGAAUCUUCCGCAAUGGACGAAAGUCUGACGGAGCAACGCCGCGUGAGUGAUGAAGGUUUUCGGAUCGUAAAGCUCUGUUGUUAGGGAAGAACAAGUGCGAGAGUAACUGCUCGCACCUUGACGGUACCUAACCAGAAAGCCACGGCUAACUACGUGCCAGCASCCGCGGUAAUACGUAGGUGGCAAGCGUUGUCCGGAAUUAUUGGGCGUAAAGGGCUCGCAGGCGGUUUCUUAAGUCUGAUGUGAAAGCCCCCGGCUCAACCGGGGAGGGUCAUUGGAAACUGGGAAACUUGAGUGCAGAAGAGGAGAGUGGAAUUCCACGUGUAGCGGUGAAAUGCGUAGAGAUGUGGAGGAACACCAGUGGCGAAGGCGACUCUCUGGUCUGUAACUGACGCUGAGGAGCGAAAGCGUGGGGAGCGAACAGGAUUAGAUACCCUGGUAGUCCACGCCGUAAACGAUGAGUGCUAAGUGUUAGGGGGUUUCCGCCCCUUAGUGCUGCAGCUAACGCAUUAAGCACUCCGCCUGGGGAGUACGGUCGCAAGACUGAAACUCAAAGGAAUUGACGGGGGCCCGCACAAGCGGUGGAGCAUGUGGUUUAAUUCGAAGCAACGCGAAGAACCUUACCAGGUCUUGACAUCCUCUGACAACCCUAGAGAUAGGGCUUUCCCUUCGGGGACAGAGUGACAGGUGGUGCAUGGUUGUCGUCAGCUCGUGUCGUGAGAUGUUGGGUUAAGUCCCGCAACGAGCGCAACCCUUGAUHUUAGUUGCCAGCAUUUAGUUGGGCACUCUAAGGUGACUGCCGGUGACAAACCGGAGGAAGGUGGGGAUGACGUCAAAUCAUCAUGCCCCUUAUGACCUGGGCUACACACGUGCUACAAUGGACAGAACAAAGGGCUGCGAGACCGCAAGGUUUAGCCAAUCCCAUAAAUCUGUUCUCAGUUCGGAUCGCAGUCUGCAACUCGACUGCGUGAAGCUGGAAUCGCUAGUAAUCGCGGAUCAGC
rnacentral:rRNA from 1 species